GAAGCCCGAGUAAACGGCGGCCGUAACUAUAACGGUCCUAAGGUAGCGAAAUUCCUUGUCGGUUAAAUACCGACCUGCAUGAAUGGCGUAACGAGAUGGGAGCUGUCUCAACCAGAGAUUCAGUGAAAUUGUAGUGGAGGUGAAAAUUCCUCCUACCCGCGGCAAGACGGAGAGACCCCG
rnacentral:rRNA from 1 species